rnacentral:ncRNA from 1 species
GAAAGUAUAAAAAGUCAUAUAUACCUAAUAAUAUGGUUUAGGCGUUUCUACCAAUUCACCCUAAAUGAAUGGACUAUGACCUAUAUCUU